GGGAUUGCCUCAGUAACGGCGAGUGAAGCGGCAACAGCUCAAAUUUGAAAUCUGGCCCCUUCGGGGCCCGAGUUGUAAUUUGUAGAGAGUGUUUCGGGUGAGACCACGGUCUAAGUCCAUUGGAACAUGGCGUCAUAGAGGGUGAGAAUCCCGUAUGUGACCGUGGAUCGAGCCCAUGUGAAGCCUCUUCAACGAGUCGAGUUGUUUGGGAAUGCAGCUCAAAAUGGGUGGUAAAUUUCAUCUAAAGCUAAAUACUGGCUGGAGACCGAUAGCGCACAAGUAGAGUGAUCGAAAGAUGAAAAGCACUUUGGAAAGAGAGUCAAACAGUACGUGAAAUUGUUGAAAGGGAAGCGCUUGCAACCAGACCUGUCCGUAGGUGAUCAGCCGCUGUUUUCAGCGGUGCACUCGCUCUGCGAUCAGGCCAGCAUCGGUUUCGGCGGCCGGAUAAAGGCCUUGGGAAUGUAGCUUCCCUUCGGGGGAGUCUUAUAGCCCUCGGUGCCAUGCGGCCAGCCGGGACCGAGGACCGCGCUUCGGCUAGGAUGCUGGCGUAAUGGUUGUAA
rnacentral:rRNA from 1 species